UUCAAAAAAAUUCAUUCUUACUUUGUGAUCAACAAAUUGCAGAAUCGAACUAUUGCCAACACCACCCCUCAUAUCGAGGUCCGGGCGACAGAAAGUGAAGCAGAAGAAGAAACGACUCCACGCCAGCUUUAAGAACAAUUGAGGUUGAGCAGGCGAUGGAAUGGAUCGGUGUUGAGUGGAUUUCCCUUUUGAUGUUUAUGUAAUGAAACCUUGAGUAUGCAUCUCCAUAUGCAUAACUCACACGUUUUUCCGCUGCAAACACUCUGAAUUUGUUAUCGUAUUGUGGAACUUAUUACUCCUUCAUUUUGUUUAACUUUCAUUUGGGGUUUAGUCGUUAUGGCUGGCUCAUUUGUUAAUUACCCAAGUGGUUAUAUAUAUAUAUACCACUAGUUUGUU